CCCAGGAGCCACAAGUGGCAACCACCUUUAUUGGGCCUAAAGCGUCCGUAGCCUGUUUUGUAAAUUUUCUGUGAAAUCGUUGCGCUAGACGUAACGGCGUGCAGAAAACACUGCAAGACUAGGGACCGGGAGGAGUUAGAGGUACUUCAGGGGGAGCGGUAAAAUGCUAUAAUCCCUGAAGGACCACCUGUGGCGAAGGCGUCUAACUAGAACGGAUCCGACGGUGAGGGACGAAAGCUAGGGGA
rnacentral:rRNA from 1 species